rnacentral:rRNA from 1 species
CCUACGGGAGGCAGCAGUGAGGAAUCUUGGUCAAUGGACGAGAGUCUGAACCAGCCAAGUAGCGUGAAGGAUGACUGCCCUCUGGGUUGUAAACUUCUUUUAUAUGGGAAUAAAAUGUUCCACGUGUGGGAUUUUGUAUGUACCAUAUGAAUAAGGAUCGGCUAACUCAGUGCCAGCAGCCGCGGUAAUACGGAGGAUCCGAGCGUUAUCCGGAUUUAUUGGGUUUAAAGGGAGCGUAGGUGGAUUGUUAAGUCAGGUGUGAAAGUGUGCGGCUCAACCGUAAAAUUGCAGUUGAAACUGGCAGUCUUGAGUACAGUAGAGGUGGGCGGAAGUCGGGGUGUAGCGGUGAAAUGCUUAGAUAUAACGAAGAACUCCGGUUGCGAAGGCAGCUCACUGGACUGCAACUGACACUGAGGCUCGAAAGUGUGGGUAGCAAACAGGAUUAGAUACCCGUGUAGUC